CCUGAACGCUGGCGGCGUGGCUAAGACAUGCAAGUCGCACGGGCGUAGCAAUACGCCAGUGGCGCACGGGUGAGUAAUGUAUCGCUAACGUACCCUUAGGUUUGGGAUAGCCAAUCGAAAGGUUGGGUAAUACCAGAUGACAUACCCUGGAGGCAUCUUCGGGGUCUCAAAGCCGCAAGGCACCUUUGGAGCGGGCGAUAUCGUAUCAGGUAGUUGGUGCGGGUAACGGCCCACCAAGCCGACGACGCGUAGCUGGUCUGAGAGGACGGCCAGCCACAUCGGGACUGAGACACUGCCCGGACUCCUACGGGGGGCGUGCAGUAACGAAUCUUCCGCCAAUAGCACGAAAGUAGUGACGGAGCGACGCCGCGUGU
rnacentral:rRNA from 1 species